AACUUUCAACAAUGGAUCUCUUGGUUCCGGCAUCGAUGAAGAACGCAGCGAAAUGCGAUAAGUAAUGUGAAUUGCAGAAUUCCGUGAAUCAUCGAAUCUUUGAACGCACAUUGCGCCCCCUGGUAUUCCGGGGGGCAUGCCUGUCCGAGCGUCAUUGCAACCUUCAAGCGCG
rnacentral:rRNA from 3 species